rnacentral:rRNA from 1 species
UAGGGAAUCUUCGGCAAUGGACGAAAGUCUGACCGAGCAACGCCGCGUGAGUGAAGAAGGUUUUCGGAUCGUAAAACUCUGUUGUUAGAGAAGAACAAGGACGUUAGUAACUGAACGUCCCCUGACGGUAUCUAACCAGAAAGCCACGGCUAACUACGUGCCAGCAGCCGCGGUAAUACGUAGGUGGCAAGCGUUGUCCGGAUUUAUUGGGCGUAAAGCGAGCGCAGGCGGUUUCUUAAGUCUGAUGUGAAAGCCCCCGGCUAAACCGGGGAGGGUCAUUGGAAACUGGGAGACUUGAGUGCAGAAGAGGAGAGUGGAAUUCCAUGUGUAGCGGUGAAAUGCGUAGAUAUAUGGAGGAACACCAGUGGAGAAGGCGGCUCUCUGGUCUGUAACUGACGCUGAGGCUCGAAAGCGUGGGGAGCAAACAGG